UGGGGAAUUUUGGACAAUGGGCGAAAGCCUGAUCCAGCAAUGCCGCAUGUGUGAAGAAGGCCUUCGGGUUGUAAAGCACUUUUGUCCGGAAAGAAAUCCUUGGCUCUAAUACAGUCGGGGGAUGACGGUACCGGAAGAAUAAGCACCGGCUAACUACGUGCCAGCAGCCGCGGUAAUACGUAGGGUGCAAGCGUUAAUCGGAAUUACUGGGCGUAAAGCGUGCGCAGGCGGUUUGCUAAGACCGAUGUGAAAUCCCCGGGCUCAACCUGGGAACUGCAUUGGUGACUGGCAGGCUAGAGUAUGGCAGAGGGGGGUAGAAUUCCACGUGUAGCAGUGAAAUGCGUAGAGAUGUGGAGGAAUACCGAUGGCGAAGGCAGCCCCUGGGCCAAUACUGACGCUCAUGCACGAAAGCGUGGGGAGCAAACAGGAUUAGAUACCCUGGUAGUCCAGCGCCCUAAACGAUGUCAACUAGUUGUUGGGGAUUCAUUUCCUUAGUAACGUAGCUAACGCGUGAAGUUGACCGCCUGGGGAGUACGGUCGCAAGAUUAAAACUCAAAGGAAUUGACGGGG
rnacentral:rRNA from 1 species